UCGUAACAAGGUUUCCGUAGGUGAACCUGCGGAAGGAUCAUUACUGAGUGCGGACCCCUCGCGGGUCCAACCUCCCACCCGUGUCUCUUGAAUACCCUGUUGCUUUGGCGGGCCCACCGGGUCGCCCCGGUCGCCGGGGGGCACUGCGCCCCCGGGCCUGCGCCCGCCAGAGCGCUCUGUGAACCCUAAUGAAGAUGGGCUGUCUGAGUGUGAUUUUGAAUUAUCAAAACUUUCAACAAUGGAUCUCUUGGUUCCGGCAUCGAUGAAGAACGCAGCGAAAUGCGAUAAGUAAUGUGAAUUGCAGAAUUCCGUGAAUCAUCGAAUCUUUGAACGCACAUUGCGCCCCCUGGCAUUCCGGGGGGCAUGCCUGUCCGAGCGUCAUUUCUGCCCUCAAGCGCGGCUUGUGUGUUGGGUGUGGUCCCCCCGGUGUUGGGGGGACCUGCCCGAAAGGCAGCGGCGACGUCCCGUCUAGGUCCUCGAGCGUAUGGGGCUUUGUCACCCGCUCGGGAGGGGCCUGCGGGCGUUGGCCACCCACGAUAUUUUUUUACCGUUGACCUCGGAUCAGGUAGGAGUUACCCGCUGAACCUAAGCAUAUCA
rnacentral:misc_RNA from 1 species